AACGCACAUUGCGCCCGCCAGCAUUCUGGCGGGCAUGCCUGUUCGAGCGUCAUUGCAGCCCUCAGGCCCGGCCUGGCGUUGGAGGACUGCGCAGCAGCCUCCCAAAGCAAGCGGCGGCGGCGCCCCAGAACCGAACGCAGUAGUUUUCUCUCGUUCUGGACCUGGGACGUUGUCCGGCCGGAAAACCCCAACUCUUUUUAGUGGUUGACCUCGAAUCAGGUAGGAAUACCCGCUGAACUUAA
rnacentral:misc_RNA from 1 species